GCGCCCGUAGCUCAGCGGAUUAGAGCACCAGACUUCGGAUCUGGGUGUCGGGGGUUCGAGUCCCUCCGGGCGUACCA
rnacentral:tRNA from 1 species